UACGUAGGGGGCAAGCGUUGUCCGGAUUUAUUGGGCGUAAAGAGCGUGUAGGCGGUUUGGUAGGUCCGCUGUGAAAACUCGAGCUCAACCUCGAGACGCCGGUGGAAACCAUCAGACUAGAGUCCGGGAGAGGAGAGUGGAAUUCCUGGUGUAGCGGUGAAAUGCGCAGAUAUCAGGAAGAACACCCGUGGCGAAAGCGGCUCUCUGGAACGGUACUGACGCUGAGACGCGAAAGCGUGGGGAGCGAACAGG
rnacentral:rRNA from 1 species